AGCUCCAAUAGCGUAUAUUAAAGUUGUUGCAGUUAAAAAGCUCGUAGUUGGAUUUCGGGGCGGCCCGACUGGUCCGCCGCGAGGUGAGCACUGGUCGGCCGCCCUUCCUCUCGGAAGCCCCGACUGCUCUUCGUUGCAGUGGUCGGGGAGUUCGGGACGUUUACUUUGAAAAAAUUAGAGUGUUCAAGGCAGGCCUUCGCCUGAAUACAUUAGCAUGGAAUAAUGGAAGAGGACUUCGGUCCCGUUUUGUUGGUUUCUUGGACCGAAGUAAUGAUUAAGAGGGACAGUUGGGGGCAUUCGUAUUUAAUUGUCAGAGGUGAAAUUCUCGGAUUUAUGAAAGACGAACGACUGCGAAAGCAUUUGCCAAGGAUGUUUUCA
rnacentral:rRNA from 1 species